UUUCAUUAUUCUGUUUUAGUUUCAGAAGAGCUGUCAGGCGCUACAGGAGAAUCAGGAGGAGGUUCGUCAGAAGAUACAGAAGAAUCAGGAGGCGUGUCGUGAGACGGUACAGGAGAAUCAGGAGGCGGGUCGUGAGACGGUACAGGAGAAUCAGGAGGCGGGUCGUGAGACGGUACAGGAGG